rnacentral:lncRNA from 1 species
UUUUUUCCCAACAUGUUUUAUAAGAGCACUAAUCCCAUUAGCGAGGGUGGAACAAUCAUGACCUCAGCGUUUCCCAAAAGGCCUCAGCUGUUACUCAAUACUAUCACACUGGGCAUUAGGUUCCAACACAGGAAUUUUGGUGGAACACAUAUAUUCAAACCACAGCAUAGGAUCACUUUAAACUUACAAUUCUAUAAACAGUUCUGACUACAAAACUAGACGAAUGAAGAGAAGAAGCAACACCUCCAUGCUACCGGGAUAAAAUUUCCAAAGACCUCACUACAAUAGUUACCAACAAAGAGGAUUUUGAAUUAGUACAAAUUCACAGAUUUUGGGGGUAAUCCAGACUAAAAGAGUUUUACUUCACUAAUUUAAGCCUGUGUUUUCAAAUGAAGGGCAGUAUCACAUGCAAAUACAACACAUAUAUCCAAAUUCCUAACUGGGUCCUAAGUAGGAUUGGCUUUACUUUGCAAGGCUCUAGAAGAAAGAAAGCCAAAGUUGUAUUACAAGAUUGACAGCCUAGGCUUUUAAAACACAUCCUGACAUUGACACGAAGACCCCAGGGUGAGUGUGGGGUCAACAGUUAUCACCAAAAAUAUGGCCUUCUGUUCCAUGUACUAACACAUUGAUCUGUUUUAUUUAGAUCCUGAGUUUAGUGACCUCAAGAAUUAUUUACCAUAGUGAACAGGAAAAAUUUCCAUAUUUGCCAAGGCUUUCUUUAAGAAAGAGCUGGGCCGGGCACAGUGGCUCACACCUGUAAUCCCAGCACUUUAGGAGGCCAAGGUGGGAAGAUCACGAGGUCAUGAUAUCGAGACCAUCCUGGCUAACACGGUGAAACCCCGCCUCUACUAAAAACAUAAAAAAUUAGCCAGGCAUGGUGGUGGGCGCCUGUAGUUGCAGCUACUCGGAAGGCUGAGGCAGGAGAAUCACUUGAACCCGGGAGGCGGAGCUUGCAGUGAGCUGAGAUCCGGCCACUGUACUCCAGCCUGGGCGACAGAGCGAGACUCCGUCUCAAAAAAAAAAAAAAAUUUACUGAAGAUAACCAAAGUUGAACAGAAAACAGGUGAUUAAUAACUGACACUCAAAAAGAACAUUCCACAUAUUCUUUGAAAACGCAGGGAGUCAUAUCAAUAUUUAAAUACAGUUCACUAUGAGUCAUGUUUAAAUAGUCAUAUAACUGAUGCCAUACAUCAGAUAUUUAUCAGAAACUAUGAACCAUUCGUGGUGCUGGAAAAUAAGAUGACAAACUAGGGAAGAGAUGGCAGGAGAUGAAGAGGAAAAGUAGGUCAGGUUCAGAUUUGGAACGAAUGCGGUGAUGCUUCAGUACAUUCAGAUGAGACUAUUUGGAGAUCAGACGAGCAUUUUUAUCCCAGCUUCCGUGGGUUCCGCAGAGCACUUGCAUCAAAUGCUAGACACACAAUACUAAAGGUUUCUCCUCACUGUUCUGAAGCUUGACGUUAUCUCCCUUAACACUCAACUACAGGUUUCAUCAAAUAAACAUCAAAUUAUUUCCAAGAUAAACAUCAGUAGGUGUUAGUUGAAAGGAAGUGGAGGGAGGCUCAGCUUCUUCAUUUCUUUGAAGCUUUAUUUUGGUUUCAAUAAAAAACAACUCAGAUGGCCAGCUAUGUAGACUGAACUGACUGAACAGUGACCGCUUUUCCCGCAUAAGACAGCUGACAUAAGGAAGACAACCAAAUGAAUCUGGAAGAUUUCGAAGAAAACGUCCAGUGCUAUACUGAAAAAAAGAGAGCAGUUUAAACAGAAAAAAAAAUGUAUUAAUAGAAAGGCACCUAGACAAACAAGUCACAAACCAAAUAAAGUGUCAACAGGAGUGCCAAUCAAAUUGUAUAUAUCCAUCCAAAAGAGAGAAGGUGACUGAGAACAAGAAUCCCCCAAAUAAGCAUUUAUGUAAUUAAAGAGCCUCUUAACAUACGUUGUGUUUCAUACGUGCUUGGUGAACACUGAUAACUACAGGUAAUCUUAUUUUAGAAAGCAAUGUCAGGGGGCCAGACACAGUGCCUCAUGCCUGUAAUUCCAGCACUUUUGGAGGCCGAGUUGGGUGAAUCACCUGAGGUCAGGAAUUCAAGACAAGCCUGGCCAACAUGGUGAAACUCUUGUCUCUACUAAAAAUACAAAAAUUAGCCAGGCGUGGUGGUGCAUGCCUGUAGUCCCAGCUACUCGGGAGACUGAAGCAGGAGAAUCACUUGAACCCGAGAGAUGGAGGUUGCAGUGAGCCACUGCACUACAGCCUGGGUGGCAGAGCGAGACUCCAUCACAAAAAAAAAAAAAAAAAAAAAAAGAAAGCAAUGUCAGGGGACACUCACCUAGCAAGAAUCAGAUUACAGAACCUGUUUAAGCAUCUUAUUUCCAGAGACCUGUAAUGUGUGCAAGCGCAACCAUAGAUUUAGGCAGUUUUCUUUCUUCAAAAUGAGUCAUACCCAAGUCACUAAUGUUAAGAAUGGGUUUUCAGUCUGUGCUUUAAUCCAGAAUAGCCUUAUCACCUUUCUUUUGUUUUGUUUUGUUUUGUUUUGUUUUGAGACAGAGUCUCACUCUGUCGCCCAGGCUGGAAGACUCUGUCUCAAAAACAAACAAACAAAAAAAAAGAAUUCAUUUCAUUUAAUACUACAGUUCUUACCUUAGUGGAACCACGUUACCAUUCCAUUGGAUAGUUACCUCUCUCUGCAUUGUGGUCAGUUGAGUUCUCUUAUGAUGACCCCCUGUACGUGCCCACCCAGAAAACUUUGGUACAGAUGAAAUCAAAGCCCAAGUUCUCUGUCUGGAUGGCAGAAAUAAAUCCAGUUACAAUAGAAAAGUAGAGGUGAAUGGAAUGAGCCAGUUAUGUUCUGUUUUUGUCUAUUCUACCAAUGAAAGGAUCACCAAACCUUCAAUGAGACUUUCCAUCAGUCAAUCAUCAGGUCAGAUGGGGAAAACUAGUAACAUGCAGCUGUGACUCAGAAAAAGAAAACACAUACCUGGGAAGCAUUAUCAAUCUUAUCUUAACAACCUUCUGGAGAACACUGGUGCAAACACGUGUUACUAUUUGUCUGAAAACCAAACAUUUGAAAAUUCUGGAACCAGAUUUCUAAAGUCCAAUUGAGUGAGCCCUGGGAAAUCUGAGCUUGGGUUCUCAACAACAGAUCACCAGGGCUACUGAGGAAAACGCAGUGCCACAAUAAACCUCCUGUCAAUAGGGUGGCAUUCACCCUGUUUACCUGAGGUUGGGUGAUUAUGAGAAGCCUUGGGAGGCAGUGUCAUCACCAAUUGUUAAUUGAGAUUCUUUCUUCCUUAGAAAAAUGAGUUAUUGGGGGCCAGGCAUGGUGGCUCACGUCUGUAAUCCCAGCACUCUGGGAGGCCAAAGCGAGCAGAUCACUUGAGGUUAGGAGUUUCUGAUCAGCCUGGCCAAUACAGUGAAACCCUGUCUCUACUAAAAAUACAAAAAAAUUAGCCAGGCAUGGUGGCAACGCAUGUAGGCUACUUUGAAGGCUGAAACAAGAGAAUUGCUUGAACCUGGGAGGCGGAGGUUGCAGUGAGCUGAGAUCGUGCCACUGCACUCCAGCCUGGGCGACACAGUGAGACUCUCAAAUAUUAUACACACACACACACACACACACACACACACACACACACAUAUUAGCCGGGCUUGGUGGCGCGCACCUGUAGUCCCAGCUACUAGGGAGGCUGAGGCACGAGAAUCGCUUGAACCCGGGAGGCAGAGGUUGUGGUGAGCAGAAAUUGCGCCACUGCACUCUAGCCUGGGCGAUAGAGUGAGACUCUGUCUAAAAAAAAAGAAAAAAGGACGGGCGUGGUGGCUCACGCCUGUAAUCCCAGCACUUUGGGAGGCCAAGGCAGGCGGAUCACGAAGACAGGGGUUCGAGACCAACCUGACCAACAUGGGAAAACCCUGUCUCUACUAAAAAUACAAAAAAAAUUAGCCGGGCAUGGUGGUGAGUGCCUGUAAUCCCAGCUACUCGGGAGGCUAAGGCAGGAGAAUCGCUUGAACCCGGGAGGCAGAGGUUGCAGUGAGCCAAGACUGCGCUACUGCACUCCAGCCUAGAUGACAGAGCGAGAGGAAAAAAGAGAAAAAAAAAAAGAAAAAUGAGUUAUUCAGAGAACAUUCCAGGACACCUUAUCUAAUCAUAGUAAUAAUAGUUAUAGUAAAUACCCAGGUGGUCACCUAACCUCACUCACUUCUGGGUGCAUUGCAGAAUUAAGGAGUGGGAAGUCACUUCAGAACUCUGUGCCUGUCCAUCUAAAGUCAAUCUGAUUUCUCUACAUUUUCCUUUUCUCCAAUCAUCUUACACCUAAGGCAAAUAGAGGCACUGUUAUCCUCUACUGAAAUAGCUGAGAACAUUCGCAAGGGUUAAAGACAGCAAAUACUCUACAGCCUCUAGAGUUUCCAAGGCAAGCUCAGAGAAGGCCAGGAGAGCACCCUAUGAAGACCCAACUCCCAGGAAAUCUUUCUUCUCUGUCUCCUUAAGAAACAGCUGGUUCUCUCUGUCAGUGGAUACUGUUUUCCCCCAUUUGAUACACUGUUUCCCCAAUUAGGUCUUGUUGCUAUUUACCUUGGUUAUUGUAUUAGUCUAUGUGGUAAUGGUGUUUUGAAUAGACUGUCAAAGGAAAAAUGAAGUGGGUCUUUUCAAAAUCACUUUGCCAAGCAAUUCAGGAAACUUGUAAUUUAGAAAGCUCAACGAGGAAAAGUUUUCAUCUAACAUCUAUUUCUUCAUAAACUUAAAAAAGAAGUGUUUUUCUCUAAUAGAACCACAGCUUUUCUUUAAAAAGAAUAAGAAGUUUUAAUUUGGGUUUAUUUUAGGAAUAUAUCCAUUUCUGAAUCUACAUAACUAAUAAUUAAAAGAUUAUGAAAACAAGUUACCUAUUAAUUGUGGGUUUCUCUGGAAACUGUAAAUUCAAAGCUCCUCUUAGUGACCUAAACAUAUCACUUUAAAUGUGAAAUUAAAAUUAUGUCUCAUCAAAAACUAAACUUAUCAUAGAUUAUCCAAAUACAAAUGCACACAUUUACUAACAUCAGUUUCAAACAUCCCAAUAGUAUGCUUUAGAAAGUGUUUUAGCAACUGAAGCACUUAAGUUCCGUAUUUUAAGGACCACUUCAGAAUCGAACAGAUUUUUUAAAUCCUCUAAAUCACCCCAAAUACUAUAAAUGGUAAUUUUAAAUAAAAAAGAUUAAACAUCCCGUUGGCUGGGCGCAGUGGCUCACGCUUGUAAUCCCAGCACUUUGGGAGGCCGAGGCGGGCAGAUCACGAGGUCAAGAGAUCGAGACCACGGUGAAAUCCCGUCUCUACUAAAAAUACAAAAAAAAUUAGCCGGGUGUAGUGGUGGGCCCCUGUAGACCCAGCUACUCGGGAGGCUGAGGCAGGAGAAUGGUGUGAACCCAGGAGGCGGAGUUUGCAGUGAGCCGAGAUGGCACCACUGCACUCCAGCCUGGGCGACAGAGGGAGACUCCGUCUCAAGAAAAAAAAAAAAAAGAUUAAACAUCCGGUUGUAUGCAGCUCUCAACCCAAUAAGCCAGAUAACGCUAGAAAUCGGCAUAAAAGCUCUCCAUCCACCACCUGCCAUAACGUGCACACUGAAUCUGCCAAGAGCGCCCUGAGCAUUCCAGGGGUGGGUGGGAUGCCUGACUGCUCCGCUUGCUCUAUAGCCCCCAAUCAGUCUAAAACCAGCUGGUGGUGUUUUCAAACGCAUACCCACCAUCGCCAGCUCCCCAGCCCCCAACCACUGUGCAUUCUGGGAGAAAAACAAGGUUUUAAUUUAAAUUUUAGAAAAACUAAACUUUAGUUUUACGAAGAAAGCUACUUUAGUGCA